GACGAACGCUGGCGGCGUGCCUAAUACAUGCAAGUAGAACGCAGUUGCGAACGGGUGAGUAAUGUCUGGGAAACUGCCUGAUGGAGGGGGAUAACUACUGGAAACGGUAGCUAAUACCGCAUACCAUCAGAUGUGCCCAGAUGGGAUUAGCUAGUAGGUGGGGUAACGGCGCACCUAGGCGACGAUACAUAGCCGACCUGAGAGGGUGAUCGGCCACACUGGGACUGAGACACGGCCCAGACUCCGACGGGAGGCAGCAGUAGGGAAUCGUCGGCAAUGGACGGAAGUCUGACCGAGCAACGCCGCGUGAGUGAAGAAGGUUUUCGGAUCGUAAAGCUCUGUUGUUAGAGAAGCGGUAACUAACCAGAAAGGGACGGCUAACUACGUGCCAGCAGCCGCGGUAAUUC
rnacentral:rRNA from 1 species